rnacentral:rRNA from 1 species
GAUGAACGCUGGCGGCGUGCCUAAUACAUGCAAGUCGAGCGAACGGACGAGAAGCUUGCUUCUCUGAUGUUAGCGGCGGACGGGUGAGUAACACGUGGAUAACCUACCUAUAAGACUGGGAUAACUUCGGGAAACCGGAGCUAAUACCGGAUAAUAUUUUGAACCGCAUGGUUCAAAAGUGAAAGACGGUCUUGCUGUCACUUAUAGAUGGAUCCGCGCUGCAUUAGCUAGUUGGUAAGGUAACGGCUUACCAAGGCAACGAUGCAUAGCCGACCUGAGAGGGUGAUCGGCCACACUGAAACUGAGACACGGCCCAGACUCCUACGGGAGGCAGCGGUGGGGAAUCUUCCGCAAUGGGCGAAAGCCUGACGAAGCAACGCCGCGUGGGUGAUGAAGGUCUUCGGAUCGUAAAACUCUGUUAUUAGGGAAGAACAUAUGGGUAAGUAACUGUGCACAUCUUGACGUUACCUAAUCAGAAAGCCACGGCUAACUACGU